rnacentral:rRNA from 1 species
AUUGAACGCUGGCGGCAGGCCUAACACAUGCAAGUCGAACGAGCGGCGGACGGGUGAGUAAUGUCUGGGAAACUGCCCGAUGGAGGGGGAUAACUACUGGAAACGGUAGCUAAUACCGCAUACCAUCGGAUGUGCCCAGAUGGGUUUAGCUAGUAGGUGGGGUAACGGCUCACCUAGGCGACGAUCCCUAGCUGGUCUGAGAGGAUGACCGACCACACUGGAACUGAGACACGGUCCAGACACCUACGGGAGGCAGCAGUGGGGAAUAUUGCACAAGGGGCGCAAGCCUAAUGCAGCCAUGCCGCGUGUAUGAAGAAGUCCUUCGGGUUGUAAAGUACUUUCGGCGAGGAGGGGUUACUCGCAGAGGAAGGACCGGCUAACUCCGUACCAGCAGCCGCGGUAAUUC